GUCCUCCGUCCCUUGCAGAUGUGCUGGUGGACGGACAGCCCUGUGACUGUGAGGCCGCAGCCUGCCGGGUGGGCGACCCCGUGCGUCUGGAGGUGCGGCUGACCAACCGGAGCCCUCGCAGCGUGGGGCCCUUCGCCCUCACUGUCGCGCCCUUCCAGGACCACCAGAACGGAGUGCACAACUAUGACCUGCACGACGCCGUCUCCUUCGUGGGCUCCAGCACGUUCUACCUGGACGCUGUGCAGCCCGCAGGCCAGUCAGCCUGCCUGGGAGCCCUCCUCUUCCUCUACACAGGCGACUUCUUCCUCCAUAUCCGCUUCCACCAGGACAGCGCAAGCAAGGAGCUGCCGCCGUCCUGGUUCUGCCUGCCCAGUGUGCAUGUGCGUGCCCUGGAGGCACAGGCCUGAGCCCCACGGCCCUCCUCUGGGUCCCCAUUCCUGUGGGCACAGGUGGCCUGGCAACCACAGGGGCCCGGCCUGGCCUCCACCUUCCCUCCCUCCAGCCCCAGCCCUUGGUCCCCACCUUUCCUUCCCCAUCUCCUGCGAGCGCCCCAGACACAGCAGCCUCACCCCUUCCCGAACUGGCCAGCAAGGCCGUCUGCUGGAGCUUGGCACUAACCAGACCACAGAGGGCAGCCCCCACCCAGCCCUGUCCCUCCCCACCCCCCGCCGGGUCUCUGCAUCUGUUGCUGUGACCUGGGGAUCACAGCCCAGCCGGGAGGAAGAAAAGGUGAGCGUGAGGGAGGGCCACAGCCCAGUGGGGCCUGGGAGCCUCCGUUUAGCCCCCUCAGACCUUGGACCCCCACCCAGGGCUGGCUCUUCUCCCAAGAGCCCCGAGGCAGCCCAGGCAGAAGAGAUGGCGCUGGGGGGUGGUUGAUGCCAAGCGGGUCUCUCUGCCCCCCAGCAGGCAAAUAUCCAGGCCUGUGCCAGCUCUUCCAGGCCCGGGGCUGUUUCCAGGCUGGGCUGGGGGUGCCAUGGCUGGCUGUGUCUGUGUGUCUGUGGCAAGUUCUCCAAUAAAGGGCCCACCUUGCUUCUUUGCUGG
rnacentral:lncRNA from 1 species